UGCGCAGGUGGGCUUGUAAGUCAGUGGUGAAAUACUGCCGCUUAACGGUAGAACUGCCAUUGAUACUGCGAGUCUUGAGUAUGGUUGAGGUAGGCGGAAUGUGUUGUGUAGCGGUGAAAUGCAUAGAUAUGACACAGAACGCCGAUUGCGAAGGCAGCUUACUAAGCCAUUACUGACGCUGAGGCACGAAAGCGUGGGGAGCGAACAGGAUUAGAUACCCUGGUAGUCC
rnacentral:rRNA from 1 species